ACCAUCGAGUCUUUGAACGCAAGUUGCGCCCCAAGCCAUUAGGCCGAGGGCACGUCUGUCUGGGUGUCA
rnacentral:rRNA from 1 species